AGAACGAACGCUGGCGGCAGGCCUCAAACAUGCAAGUCUAGGGGGUGUAGCAAUACAUCACCGGCGGACGGGUGCGUAACGCGUGGGAAUAUACCUAUUGGUUCGGAACAACUGAGGGAAACUUCAGCUAAUACCGGAUACGUCCUAACGGAGAAAGAUUUAUCGCCAAUAGAUUAGCCCGCGUUCGAUUAGCUAGUUGGUGGGGUAACGGCCCACCAAGGCGACGAUCGAUAGCUGUUCUGAGAGGAAGAUCAGCCACACUGGGACUGAGACACGGCCCAGACUCCUACGGGAGGCAGCAGUUGGGAAUCUUGGACAAUGGGGGAAACCCUGAUCCAGCCAUGCCGCGUGAGUGAUGAAGGCCUUCGGGUUGUAAACUCCUUUUAGUGGGAACGAAAUUGACGGUACCCACAGAAAAGCCCCGGCUAACUACGUGCCAGCAGCCGC
rnacentral:rRNA from 1 species